rnacentral:rRNA from 1 species
AAUCUUCCGCAAUGGACGAAAUUCUGAUGGAGCAACGCCGCGUGAGCGAAGAAGGUUUUCGGAUCGUAAAGCUCUGUUGCGAGGGACGAACAAGUACGGGAGUAACUGCCCUUACCUUGACGGUACCGCGUCAGAAAGCCACGGCUUACUACGUGCCAGCAGCCGCGGUAAUACGUAGGUGGCAAGCGUUGUCCGGAAUUAUUGGGCGUAAAGCGCGCGCAGGCGGUCCUUUAAGUCUGAUGUGAAAGCCCACGGCUCAACCGUGGAGGGUCAUUGGAAACUGGAGGACUUGAGUACAGAAGAGGAAAGCGGAAUUCCACGUGUAGCGGUGAAAUGCGUAGAGAUGUGGAGGAACACCAGUGGCGAAGGCGGCUUUCUGGUCUGUAACUGACGCUGAGGCGCGAAAGCGUGGGGAGCAAACG